UACGUAGGGGGCAAGCGUUGUCCGGAUUUAUUGGGCGUAAAGCGCGUGUAGGCGGCCCGGUAAGUCCGCUGUGAAAGUCGGGGGCUCAACCCUCGAAUGCCGGUGGAUACUGUCGGGCUAGAGUGCGGAAGAGGAGAGUGGAAUUCCUGGUGUAGCGGUGAAAUGCGCAGAUAUCAGGAAGAACACCCGUGGCGAAGGCGGUUCUCUGGGACGGUACUGACGCUGGAGACGCGAAAGCGUGGGGAGCGAACAGG
rnacentral:rRNA from 1 species